rnacentral:rRNA from 1 species
CCUACGGGGGGCAGCAGUAGGGAAUAUUGCGCAAUGGGCGAAAGCCUGACGCAGCAAAGCCGCGUGAUUGAUGAAGGCCUUCGGGGUGUAAAGAUCUGUUAGUGGGGACGAAAAUUGACGCUACUGACAGAGGAAGCACGGACUAACUCAGUGCCAGCAGCCGAGGUAAUAGGGAGGGGGCAAGCGUUGUCCGGAUUCAUUGGGGUUAAAGGGUUCGUAGGUGGUUUUUUAAGUCUGGUGUUAAAUGCUGAGGCUUAACUUCGAUUUGUCACUGGAUACUGGUAGUCUUGAUUGCGGUAGAGGUAAGCGGAAUGCGUGGUGUAGCGGUGAAAUGCGUAGAUAUCAGGAGGAACACCGGUGGCGAAGGC